UACAGAGGGUGCGAGCGUUAAUCGGAAUUACUGGGCGUAAAGCGCGCGUAGACGGUUUUGUAAGUCAGAUGUGAAAUCCCUGGGCUCAACCUGGGAACUGCAUUUGAUACUGCAUGGCUAGAGUAUCGAAGAGGGAAGUGGAAUUUCCGGUGUAGCGGUGAAAUGCGUAGAUAUCGGAAGGAACACCAGUGGCGAAAGCGACUUCCUGGUCGAAUACUGACGUUCAUGUGCGAAAGCGUGGGGAGCAAACAGG
rnacentral:rRNA from 1 species